rnacentral:lncRNA from 1 species
CUGCUCAAGAUUGGCUGAAGGAAGCAAAGCUACAUUUCUUGUUUUCUGUUUCCUAUGAACAGAAGCAGAAUUUUUUCACAACAGACAGUGAAGCAGCGAAGUUUUGAGAGUUGCUCCUCAUUUAAUGAUGUGGGAUCUUGUUAUGUUGCCCAGGCUGGAGAGCAGUGGCUAUUCACAGGUGUGAUUGGCACACUAUGACCUGGAACUCCUGGCUUCAAGUGACCCUCCUGCCUCAGCCUCUCAAGUAGCUGGGACUACAGGCUCCUGACACCAUAUCCAGCUGAACCUGAUUUUAUAUUCUAGUGGCUGACCAACUAUUUAACUCCUCUGAACUACAGAUUCCACCCACCUAAUUUUUGCCAGUUUGUAUGCAAAAGAACAACUUAUCACUUUUUAUUUUCAAGCCACUUCCCUCCAGCCAUGUACAUU